rnacentral:rRNA from 1 species
AAUCAAGUGCCUUAAGGGUGUUCGGUGGAUGCCUUGGCGCUGAGAGGCGAUGAAGGACGUGCUACGCUGCGAUAAGCCGUGGGGAGCUGUGAAGAAGCUUUGAUCCAUGGAUUUCCGAAUGGGGAAACCCACCUUCGCUUGCCGGAACUCCAAGACCCCUGUCGAAAGACAUCGGUGUGGGGUCCGCCUGUUUGGUGGAGUAUAACCCACACCCUACCUUUCGAUCGAAGAGGUUUUGGACCCCCUGUAGCAAAGAGAAAGUAUGAGACGGGGAAUAGCAUAGGAGGUUUCAAGCAAACCCAGGGAACUGAAACAUCUAAGUACC